UUGAACGCUGGCGGCAUGCCUUACACAUGCAAGUCGAACGGCAGGCACGGGGGGCAACCCUGGUGGCGAGUGGCGAACGGGUGAGUAACGCAUCGGAACGUGCCCAGGUAGUGGGGGAUAACCAGUCGAAAGACUGGCUAAUACCGCAUACGCCCUACGGGGGAAAGCAGGGGACCUUCGGGCCUUGCGCGAUUGGAUAUGCCCAGGUGGGAUUAGCUUGUUGGUGAGGUAAUGGCUCUCCAAGGCGACGAUCCCUAGCUGGUCUGAGAGGAUGAUCAGCCACACUGGAACUGAGACACGGUCCAGACUCCUACGGGAGGCAGCAGUGGGGGAAUAUUGCACAAUGGGGGAAACCCUGAUGCAGCCAUGCCGCGUGUGUGAAGAAGGCCUUCGGGUUGUAAAGCACUUUCAGCGAGGAGGAAAGGUUGAUGCCUAAUACGCAUCAGCUGUGACGUUACUCGCAGAAGAAGCACCGGCUAACUCCGUG
rnacentral:rRNA from 1 species